rnacentral:rRNA from 1 species
AGAGUUUGAUCAUGGCUCAGGAUGAACGCUGGCGGCGUGCCUAAUACAUGCAAGUCGAGCGAACAGAUAAGGAGCUUGCUCCUUUGAAGUUAGCGGCGGACGGGUGAGUAACACGUGGGUAACCUACCUAUAAGACUGGGAUAACUUCGGGAAACCGGAGCUAAUACCGGAUAACAUUUAGAACCGCAUGGUUCUAAAGUGAAAGAUGGUUUUGCUAUCACUUAUAGAUGGACCCGCGCCGUAUUAGCUAGUUGGUAAGGUAACGGCUUACCAAGGCGACGAUACGUAGCCGACCUGAGAGGGUGAUCGGCCACACUGGAACUGAGACACGGUCCAGACUCCUACGGGAGGCAGCAGUAGGGAAUCUUCCGCAAUGGGCGAAAGCCUGACGGAGCAACGCCGCGUGAGUGAUGAAGGGUUUCGGCUCGUAAAACUCUGUUAUUAGGGAAGAACAAAUGUGUAAGUAACUGUGCACAUCUUGACGGUACCUAAUCAGAAAGCCACGGCUAACUACGUGCCAGCAGCCGCGGUAAUACGUAUGUGGCAAGCGUUAUCCGGAAUUAUUGGGCGUAAAGCGCGCGUAGGCGGUUUCUUAAGUCUGAUGUGAAAGCCCACGGCUCAACCGUGGAGGGUCAUUGGAAACUGGGAAACUUGAGUGCAGAGAGGAAAGUGGAUUCCAUGUUGUAGCGGUGAAAUGCGCAGAAGAUUAUGGAGGAACACCAGUGGGCG